ensembl:lncRNA
AUUUUCCUCAACACCUGAGCAGCAACACUUGUGACCUCCACUGACUGGUUGUAGCUGUGGUCCGGUGCACAGAAGAGUGCACCUCUGCUGCAUUUGCAAUAAAAAGCUGACCAACGCAGAAUGAAACUUAAAGGGAAGUUGGUGCCGGAGACAAAGAGAAACCUGUGCAUGGAUCUUCUCUCUUGAUUUGUUGCAGGGAGGCUGCAGGGAGUCACUGAGCUCAAAGGAGUGUGUAGCUACGGCACAACAAGCAGUUUCUUUGAGCCGAAUAUAAAAGUGACGGAGCUUUAUGUGCAGUCAUCACUUCAAACCUGUCAGAGGAUGUACUUCCUGAGGCAGCUGAAGAAAUUCAACCUGCCAACACGGACGAUGAUGCAGUUCUACACUGCAAUCAUCGAGUCCAUCCUCACCUCCUCCAUCACCGUGUGGUACGCUGGAGCCACUAUCAGGGACAAACAGAGACUGCAGCGUGUUGUGCGCUCUGCUGAGAAGCGGACAUAUUCAACAGCACAUGUUCAAGGUUUAUCAAGAGCUGUGUUCAUCGCGAACGCAUGUCUUUAUCCUGUCUUCCUUCUCUCACCCCAACCAAUCACAGCAGAUGGCCCCGCCCCUCCCUGAGCCUGGUUCUGCUGGAGGUUUCUUCCUGUUAAAAGGGAGUUUUUCCUUCCCACUGUCGCCAAAGUGCUGCUCACAUGUCAUUGUUGGAGUUUCUCUUUUGUCUCUUUAUUAUCAUAAGGUUCUUACUCUACAAUAUAAAGUACCCGGAGGCAACUGUUGUUGUUUUUUCUGUAUAAAUAAAAGUGAACUGAGUUGAAUGUAAUUUGGUUGAACAGGAAAUUCACAUCAUGGAUCUGGAGCAGCUGUGUGAUGAUGUCAUGUCAACAUGGACCAAAACCUCUGAGGGAUGUUUCCAGAAACUUUUUAAAUUUGUGCCACAAAUGACUAAAGCAGAAGAGAGCUCAGACUCAGCUUCACUGUCAUUCAGCCAUUUGACAUGAUAUGAAUGAAAAACAGAUUCUCUGUCCAGGACCUGGGUCUGAGCGACCCAGGGUCCAUGAGCAUUUAUGACUCUUGUUAUAUGAUAUGUGUUUGUUUCUGCAUUGUGCUGCUGUUCCUGUGUCUAUGAUGUUGGAGACCUCACCUGCUCAACCGCCUGCCAUAACCACGCCACCAUCACUUUACCUACCUGUUGCUGCUGCAUCACCGUCCAAUCUACCCCCAGUGGCUGCUACACCACCAUCAUUUCCACUGCCUGCAGCUGCCACACCAGCACGGCCUGCGUGUCACAAACCACCUGCAGUGCUUCGCCAUGGGCCAUCGGAGCUCUUACGUGGCUGGACCUACUACAAGGCUGUCAUCAGAUCACUGGCCGGCCACCAGAACUGCUAUGCCACAGCUGCCAGACCUGUGGCAGGCCGCUCGAGCUGUUUUCCUGCCGUCACCGUCCAUCGGGCCAGCUGCCAAAACUGUGGCAGAACUGUGGUUGAUUUUUUCAGUUUUUUGGGGACUGUUUUGACAGCGCUGCUGGACGUGCGGUCGGACUUUGAAACCGUUGGGAUUAGGGGCUCUGUUUGCUAGAGGAUUUUGUUUUUGCACGGAGAGUGCGGAGACUCGGGAGCAGAGUACAGACACUUGGGAGAAGGCGCGACACGGGAGUCGUGGGAGCGCACUGGAGAUUUGUUGUGUGUUACAUUUACUUCACUGUAAAUCAACGCACUGUUUACUGCACAGAGUCCAGCAUUUAGGUCCUUUCUCCCCCACAGUCUGCCACACAGACCGUGACAUUCUCAGGUCUCAGUAUUGCAGCAUGCUACCAAACAACGAGUAAAACAUUACAAAUAACUACAAUUAAUAGAACAAGAAAUUCUCAAAAAUAAGUACUGAAAUAUGCAAAAACAUAAAUAACAAUC